GAACGCUAGCGGCAGGCCUAACACAUGCAAGUCGAGGGGCAGCGGGGAUUGCUUGCAAUCCGCCGGCGACCGGCGCACGGGUGCGCACCGCGUAUGGAACCUACCUUUUACAGGGGAAUAGCCUUUGGAAACGAAGAUUAAUGCCCCAUGGUAUCGUUGUACGGCAUCGUAUUUCGAUUAAAGGCUUCGGCCGGUAGAAGAUGGCCAUGCGUCCCAUUAGCUUGUUGGUAAGGUAACGGCUUACCAAGGCUACGAUGGGUAGGGGCCCUGAGAGGGGGAUCCCCCACACUGGUACUGAGACACGGACCAGACUCCUACGGGAGGCAGCAGUGAGGAAUAUUGGACAAUGGAGGAGACUCUGAUCCAGCCAUGCCGCGUGCAGGAAGAAUGCCCUAUGGGUAGUAAACUGCUUUUAUACGGGAAGAAAAAGGGCCACGUGUGGCCCGUUGACGGUACCGUAAGAAUAAGGACCGGCUAACUCCGUGCCAGCAGCCGCGGUAAUACGGAGGGCCCGAGCGUUAUCCGGAAUUAUUGGGUUUAAAGGGUCCGUAGGCGGGCGAUUAAGUCAGUGGUGAAAGUCUGCAGCUCAACUGUAGAAUUGCCUUUGAUACUGGUCGUCUUGAGUUAUGGUGAAGUUGCCGGAAUAUGUAGUGUAGCGGUGAAAUGCAUAGAUAUUACAUAGAACACCGAUUGCGAAGGCAGGUG
rnacentral:rRNA from 1 species